ACCUACGGGAGGCAGCAGUGGGGAAUAUUGGACAAUGGGCGCAAGCCUGAUCCAGCCAUGCCGCGUGGAUGAUGAAGGCCCUAGGGUUGUAAAGUCCUUUCGGCGGGGAAGAUAAUGACGGUACCCGCAGAAGAAGCCCCGGCUAACUUCGUGCCAGCAGCCGCGGUAAUACGAAGGGGGCUAGCGUUGCUCGGAAUCACUGGGCGUAAAGCGCACGUAGGCGGACUCUUAAGUCGGUGGUGAAAUCCUGGAGCUCAACUCCAGAACUGCCUUCGAUACUGAGAGUCUUGAGUCCGGGAGAGGUGAGUGGAACUGCGAGUGUAGAGGUGAAAUUCGUAGAUAUUCGCAAGAACACCAGUGGCGAAGGCGGCUCACUGGCCCGGUACUGACGCUGAGGUGCGAAAGCGUGGGGAGCAAACAGGAUUAGAUACCCCGGU
rnacentral:rRNA from 1 species